rnacentral:rRNA from 1 species
UACGGAGGGUGCAAGCAUUGAUCGGAAUUACUGGGCGUAAAGGGCGCGUAGGCGGCAGGGAAAGUCAGAUGUGAAAUUCCGGGGCUCAACCCCGGAGCUGCAUUUGAAACUUCUCUGCUAGAGUUCAGUUAGGGAAAACGGAAUUCCACAUGUAGCGGUGAAAUGCGUAGAUAUGUGGAAGAACACCGGUGGUGAAGACGGUUUUCUGGGCUGAGACUGACGCUGAGGCGCGAGAGCUAGGGGAGCAAACAGG